CGCAGCGAAGGGGAGUCGUGUCCCGCCCACCCCGUGCCGGGCGCUCGGGCUGGCCGCCGCGUCUCCUUCAGGUUGGAGGAAGUGAAGUCUGCGUGGGGUCUGGGCCCGACUCAAAGGGCGCGUCAGCGGACUGGGGCCCUGACCGAAACUUUCCAUCAGCUGACAGUGUUAAGCCGAAAUUGACCGGAUCGGUUCGCCCCGUGGAUGGCCGGCCGGGUAUUUUCUGAGUACAGCUGAGGCAACCGGCUGGUGCUUCUUACAUGUUACCAGGACACAUUCCUUUCUGAAGCAAUCCACUAUCUGACUGGCAGAGUUACCAGCUCCAGGGAGUCCAGAGAAGUUGAGACUGAAAUGUUUUUACAGAGCCAACAGAGACAUGCGAGUGUAUCAUUUUAUUUCCUUAUUCCAUGUCAACAAUGGAGUAAAUGGCUACAAUUGUCAUCCAUUUGCCCAAUAAUUCUGCUCUGAUUUUCUCUUCUCUCUGUUUCUGGGCCUUCGAGUCAUGAGGGUCAGUCUCUGAUGUGGGACAGGGAUACAGCCACUCCUCCCAGGUAACUGGCAGAACAUGAGAGGAGAACAGCAGAAAGGUAGAGCCAACCAUGGGAGAACCACACUUCCAGAGCCCAGAAUUCUUCAGAAUUGUGGGCUGGAUUCUAACACUGGGACCUCAACACCUGGGUAGGUAGUUGCUAUUUAACAGAACCGUUUCAGGCACAGGGGAAGGAGGAGGGACAAGGAGGUAGCCAGUGGGGGUGCGGAGGAAGCACGACCACACAACACCCACCAGCUCCACUGGUGUCUGGAGCACCACAACCACCCCAGAGGGCCUCUAGCCACUGCCCACAGCCCCAGUCUUUCUCGGGGACAGGUCAGUCAUCAAGCGCGUGCAUACAUGCACCAUUAGGCUGAGGGAAGCACCAGUAUGAACUGGGUUUGGACUACUUUCUCUAAAACUCUUGGGGAAAGACUGGCUCCUUCCUGAGUUUGGUGAUGUGGCUUUGGAGACAAACAGGGGUCACAUCUUAAUGCUAUCACUGUGUGAUUCUGGGCAUGUCAUUUAACCUCUCUGGUCUAAGUUACAGCUAUGCUAACACCUCUACCUUCUGUGAGGAUUAGACACAGUGCAUGUAAUGUGUCUGGUCCUUGGUGGGAAUUUAAAACAGUAAGUCAUUGUCCUUGCUAUCACUAUUAAUUAUCCUCAUUAACACAUAUACUUUAAAGGACAAGGCUACAGAGAGUGUCACCCCUCUGAAGCAUGAUGCCACAGCCUCCCAUAGCCUGGGUGACCUUGCCCAGACCAAGGCUCCCAGAUGCAAGAAAGGAUACAGCAUGUCCAGGGGCGGCUGGGCGGAGGAGGUGCUGGGGGUAAGGCCCUCCAACGAGGUCUGCAAGGUCUGAGCCAUGCUGUGAUCAGCCAGGAGGCCCAUGCUCUGGACCUGAGAGAAGGUGGCAGGGAAUACAGGCCUCAGUGGCCACUCCAUACAGACCCUCUCUACCCUCUACCCUCUGCAUUCCUGGCUUCCCAUUGGCCGCUGUGGCUAGAGCGCCCAUUCUCCAUAGUGAAGAUGGUGGUGAGUGGAUCUAGCCUUAUGGUGGCUAUACAGCAUUCCCUUCCCACCCACCUGCAGGAAGAAGCUAUGCAGAGCCUGAAGUGUGGUGUUCGACAGGGUGGAGAGGUCAGUCAAAGCUGCGCCUUGCAGAACAUGAUCCACCUCCUCGUGAGAGAGGACACUGCUGCUCUGGAACCGCACAAACUAGGCCAGGGAGAAAAGCCCCAAACACACAGAGAUUUGGUAUCUCCUUCAUUCACUGACAUUUCCUGUGCCUCUGCUGUGUUUGGCACUGGGCUGAGGGCAUAGAUCUGAAGCCCAGAGAACCCUGCCUUCAGGAGCUCAGGGUCAGUGGGCAGAGGUGGUGGGGUUGUAUCAUAGAAGAGUGGGGUAAAUGAGGCAGACUGUGAAACCCUGAGAGUUGGUCCUGCUGACCCCUUCAGUACUCUUCCCCUCACUCCCUGGCCUGUCACCUCACACUCAUGGCCAAAAUAGAAUACAUGUGGUUACCCAAAUAUACCACCAUGUGCUCGUGUCCCUGCUUUCACUUCCACUAUCUGGAAUAUUUUUCUUCUUGGCCUAUUAAUCCUUCAAGUCUCAGCUAAAAUGUUACCUUCCUGUUGAAUGUUCUUUCAUUUCAUUAAAGAAAUACAGGCAUUAACUUAGUGCUUACUACAUCCUUAUUCACCUCUCCCUUCUGGCUCUGGCAGAAGCUAUUACAGUUGACCUUUGAACAACACAGGAGUGAACUGCACAGGUCUGCUUAUACACAGACCUGUAUAUUUAUUUGGGGUAAAUAUAGUACAGUACUGUAAAAGUAGUUUCCCUUUAUGAUUUUAACAUUUUUUCUAGCUUCCUUUAUUGUAAGAAUACAGUAUUUAGUACAUAGAACAUGUGAAAUACGUGUUUAUGUUAUCGGUAAGGCUUCCAGUCAACAGUGGGCUAUUAGUAGUUAGUAUGGGGAGGGGGAGUCAAAAGCUAACAUGCAGAUUUCCAACUGUGAGGGGGUCAGCACCCCUAACCCCCAUAGUAUUCAAUGGUCAACUGUACUCUUCUCUGUGUUCCCAUACCAAAUACUGAUUUAUUCAUUGAUCCACUUCACUAUCAUUCACAGGCUCACUUUGUUGUUUAUUCAAUAGGCACUUACUGCAUUCCAAGCACUUAGCAUAUCUUCUGUGCCACUAAUACUGUCUUGUUUUAACUAUUAGUUUCCUUAUCUAUAUCCUUCUCUAGACUGAGGGACCCUUAAAAGCCAGAGCAUUUGGCUCAGUGACCUCUUUGGUCCCUAACAUAGGAUCUAGAUGUGGCAGCAGGCCCUGGCCAAUGUUUCAUGUGUGAAUGAAUUAGAGUAUUUGGGUCUUUUGGGGUGAAAAGAUGUGGGUGUUUACAGGAAAUUCUCUGAGCAGGCCUCUUGUAAGGUAAAGGCCCACCCAGCCCCUCUACUUUCUACCCUUCUACCUGGACUCUUCAAAAACACCCAGCUAAUGACAUUCUUCACCCCACAGGACUAUCCAUUCUGUACUUACCAGGGUCAUGAGCCUCAAGAUUUCAGGUCUGAGGAAGGAACUCUCUCCAGCAUCCAGGAGGGUAAACAGCAAAAACCGAUUCCAGGGCUGGGAGACCACAUGAAAUGCUAUAGGAAACAUCAGUCGCCCUGGGUUGUUACUGCUUUUCCAUAGGCCUUGGAACAUUGAUGAAGAGGAAUUUCUUUUAUUGGCUUAAAAAGGGGCUGCUCAGCUAGAGGCAGGGCAUUGGACAAACUGGCCACUGGAAGUUUCUUUUUUCCCUGGGCUUCUAUCCACCUAUGCUGCAUGGCUUAGGGAGACCACAUAUCCCACUAUUGUGGGAAGGGUUCUGCAACUUUGGAGCUUUUGUGAUUUUGGUUGGGCAGGUUACUUGACCUCUUUGGACCAUAGUGUCCUCAUCCAUAUAAUGGGCAUUGCAAUGCCCUUGCAUGUUGUGAAAAGAAUUAAACAAAAUGAAUGUAAAUCAAAAACCAGAGGUUGGGAGUCUGAGACAGAAAGGUGGCAGGGGCUGGCCAGCCCUAUGGGAACAUCAGAGAAUGGGGAGGGCUUCUACCAAUGUCUGGGCUCCGGGCAUGCAGGUAGUCAAGCAAGGCUUCCAGGCAGCCAACACAGGCAUAAGACAAAAGAGGGUCCUUCUGUAAAAAAAAUAAACAAAUAAAACCCAUUCGUGUUAA